UUUAAAUGUAAAUAUUUUACUUAAUUAUUAAUAGUUAUAUUCUUGAAAAUUAAAGAUUUUGGCGGUAUUUUAGUCUAUUCAGAGGAACCUGUUCUUUAAACGAUAGUCCACGAUUUAUAUCACUUUUCUUACAAAUUUGUAUAUCGUCGUUGUUUGAAUAUUUUAUAAGAAAUUAAUAUUUUUGAUUUUUUAUAAUAAAAUAAAUCAGAUCAAGGUGCAGUUAAUAGGGAAGUAGAAAUGGGUUACAAUAAAAAUAUUUAUAUAGUUAUUUAAAUUAAAUUUUAAAUAUAAAGUGGAUUUGAAAGUAAUAUUAAUAAAUUUAUUAAUAUGAUUUUAGCUCUAAAAUAUGC
rnacentral:rRNA from 1 species